UGCCACAGCCAUAUCACCCUGCAGCCCAAGACUGGUCGCCCACUGAAGCUAAGCAGGGUUGAGCCUGGUCAGUACCUGGAUGGGAGACCUCCUGAGAAUGACUGAAAAUGCGUGCAG
rnacentral:rRNA from 1 species